GGUUGUGGCUCAGUGGUAGAGUGCUUGUCUAGCAUAUGUGAGGCCCUGGGUUCGAUCCUCAGCACCA
rnacentral:tRNA from 1 species